rnacentral:hammerhead_ribozyme from 1 species
AUCCAGCUGAUGAGUCCUAAAUAGGAUGAAACGCGUGUCCUGGAU